rnacentral:RNase_P_RNA from 1 species
CGAGCUGGCCAGACAAUCGCUGAUCCGCAAGGGUUGGAGGAAAGUCCGGGCUCCAUAGGGCAAAGUGCCAGGUAACCCCUGGGAGGCGUGAGCCUACGGAAAGUGCCACAGAAAAUAUACCGCCCNNCGUAUUCAUCUUUGAUUUAUUUCAUCAAAUCUCAGCUUUUGCCGAGAUAAAUCAGCGAUGGCUGCGGGGUAAGGGUGAAAAGGUGCGGUAAGAGCGCACCGCAUGGGUGGUAACAUCCAUGGCAGGGAAAACCCCGCUUGGAGCAAGACCAAAUAGGGGUCCUCGUGGUUAGACCACNACAGUGCUGCCCGCACUCGGGACCCGGGUAGGUUGCUAGAGGUGUAUGGUGACGUACAUCCCAGAGAGAUGAUUGUCCACGACAGAACCCGGCUUAACGGCUAGCUCAAUUC